CUAAUACCUGCACAGAAAGGUUUGGACACUUGCCUCAGUAGCUCUAGCAGGGAGGGUUGAAUGUGAUCCAUUUCCCUACUUUCAGAUCAUGCCAUGGUUCUCCAGGGAACUCAGACCCUCAUUUUGAAGACCACUGCCUUAGACCGUAAAGACAUGGUCAAAAAAAGUGUGAAGACUCACCAGAAACUACAUUAAAGCCAAUUUGCAAGAUUCACCAAGACCCUGCUGGUUCCUGGUACCGGAUUUAUCAAAGGUUGAGUGGGUGGAAGAGGAAGAAAGAGCCCAGAAGAUGGGGACUGACUAGAGGGAAAGAGGCAAGGAACAGAAGGAGAGGAGGAGAUGCUUUGAACUGGGAGAAGUGAGAAAAAGAGGCUGCAAUCUCUUGAAUGUGAAGUGCUCACCACCUACUCAGUCAGCCAGCUCAGGAUAGACUGUAUUUUGGAUGAUGUCUUUAUGAGGCUGAUUGCAAUUUUUCUAGAUCAGGUUCCUUUAAGAGAAUCAGAAAAUACAGCAUGAUUAAGUACCCCAGGAGUCUGGGUGGGCAACCCUCUUCCCUUCUUCUUUGGCAGACCUCCAGAUAAUGAAAUUAUUUUGCUUAGGGAAGCUGCUAUUCAUACCUCAGUCUUAUUUUUCUUCCCUUCCACUUAGUCUUUGAUAUCAUAACAGUUUUUUUAACCUUAUCCCCAUUGCUUUAUGACGAAGGCUAUGUAUGAUUAUCUCUAGGUAACUAGAGAGUCCCAAUUAAUUCUAUACUUUUCCCCUUGCUUUUGAAUUUGGAGGGAGGGGAAUGACUAUGUUUAAAAGUGAAGUGCAAC
rnacentral:lncRNA from 1 species